AGCGAACGCUGGCGGCAGGCCUAACACAUGCAAGUCGAACGAACCUUUCGGGGUUAGUGGCGGACGGGUGAGUAACACGUGGGAACGUGCCUUUAGGUUCGGAAUAACUCAGGGAAACUUGUGCUAAUACCGAAUGUGCCCUUCGGGGGAAAGAUCUAUCGCCUUUAGAGCGGCCCGCGUCUGAUUAGCUAGUUGGUUGAGGUAAUGGCUCACCAAGGCGACGAUCAGUAGCUGGUCUGAGAGGAUGAUCAGCCACAUUGGGACUGAGACACGGCCCAAACUCCUACGGGAGGCAGCAGUGGGGAAUCUUGCGCAAUGGGCGAAAGCCUGACGCAGCCAUGCCGCGUGAAUGAUGAAGGUCUUAGGAUUGUAAAAUUCUUUCACCGGGACGAUAAUGACGGUACCCGGAGAAGAAGCCCCGGCUAACUUCGUG
rnacentral:rRNA from 1 species